ACGCACGCUGGCGGCGUGCUUAACACAUGCAAGUCGCACGGAAAGGCCCUGCUUUUGUGGGGUGCUCGAGUGGCGAACGGGUGAGUAACACGUGAGUAACCUGCCCUUGACUUUGGGAUAACUUCAGGAAGCUGGGGCUAAUACCGGAUAGGAGCUCCUGCUGCAUGGUGGGGGUUGGAAAGUUUCGGCGGUUGGGGAUGGACUCGCGGCUUAUCAGCUUGUUGGUGGGGUAGUGGCUUACCAAGGCUUUGACGGGUAGCCGGCCUGAGAGGGUGACCGGCCACAUUGGGACUGAGAUACGGCCCAGACUCCUACGGGAGGCAGCAGUGGGGAAUAUUGCACAAUGGGCGGAAGCCUGAUGCAGCAACGCCGCGUGCGGGAUGACGGCCUUCGGGUUGUAAACCGCUUUCGCCUGUGACGAAGCGUGAGUGACGGUAAUGGGUAAAGAAGCACCGGCUAACUACGUG
rnacentral:rRNA from 1 species